GAUGAACGCUGGCGGCGUGCCUAAUACAUGCAAGUCGAGCGAACGAACGAGAAGCUUGCUUUUCUGAUGUUAGCGGCGGACGGGUGAGUAACACGUGGAUAACCUACCUAUAAGACUGGGAUAACUUCGGGAAACCGGAGCUAAUAUCGGAUAAUAUUUUGAACCGCAUGGUUCAAAAGUGAAAGACGGUCUUGCUGUCACUUAUAGAUGGAUCCGCGCUGCAUUAGCUAGUUGGUAAGGUAACGGCUUACCAAGGCAACGAUGCAUAGCCGACCUGAGAGGGUGAUCGGCCACACUGGAACUGAGACACGGUCCAGACUCCUACGGGAGGCAGCAGUAGGGAAUCUUCCGCAAUGGGCGAAAGCCUGACGGAGCAACGCCGCGUGAGUGAUGAAGGUCUUCGGAUCGUAAAACUCUGUUAUUAGGGAAGAACAUAUGUGUAAGUAACUGUGCACAUCUUGACGGUACCUAAUCAGAAAGCCACGGCUAACUACGUG
rnacentral:rRNA from 1 species